AAAAAAAAUUUUGCUUUCCUUCUCAUAAGAAAAAAAAUAUUUUAUCGGAGGAAGGUUCUGAAAAAAAAAUUAUGAACACAAUGAAAAUCCCAGGCCCCCCCAGAUAAGAAAAUGGUUGUUGCCUUAAAAUAAACAUACAUGGACCAUAGGAAAGUAAUAAAAUUAUAAAAUGUUUUAUUUGUAACCCACUGAUAGUCCCCACUGUAUGCAAAUUACAAUUAUUUUAGUCAUUUCAAGAAAUUAAAAUCAGUGAGGUGGGGAUCGUAUAAUAGGUUUUAGCACGCUGAUUCAAUGAAGUGUCAAGGUCGUCAUAAUAAUGUUUUAGUUUGCCAUCACUUCCUGGGUAUAUGCACAAGGAUAUGUCUUUUUUACCCUCUUUGCCAUGGUUGAGGAAAAGGAAGAAAGAUAUCGAUGGACAUGGUGGAUUGGAAUACAGAUCAGACCAGACGGCGGACAGUCAAAUAGACAAGUGACACAGAAGAUGACUACAUUGAUGUUAGAAAAGCAAAGCACAAAAUAGCCAGGAAACAUGAAAAAACAUCAAAGGUAUUAAAAGACAAGGAGACUGACUUCAAUGUUAUAAACAGCCUUGUGAGAAAAAAUGUUUAAGUACCAGUAACAUUCAGACAAUACAGACCUGUCAAGCUAUGUUGUAUAAAAAGACCCAUGAGGAACAGUCAGAUUUCAUUGAGUGAAACAUAAGGUGCAAUGAUGCCAGUUUAGAAGACAAACAGUUGACUUUUGUGCUGACUGGUAGGAGAGUAUGUGAAUAUGCAUGGAGGAUUGUGUAUGGCAUAAAAAGAAGGAGGUAUUACUACAUGAAAAAGAAAUGUUUGUCUACUAACGAAGAUUUAGACAGUUCUGAUAAAAGAUGUAGCCAACAAUACAAGAGUCGCCAGUACCUUGAAGCAAAGAGUUUUGUGUCUGGUCUAUGCAAGAGAUAUGGUGAUGAUCAGCCUGACAUACUAGAAAUACAUUUUCCAUCAUGUCUCUCUAUUCUACAAGUUUGGACGGAUUAUAAAUCUUCCUGUGAGAAUUUAGAAUCCCCUAUUUGUCUUACCCAAGGUUCUAUGGAAUGUGGAGUGAAGAGUUUCAUCAUGUUAAAAUUCCAAAGUAUCAGAAGCUCAGCAAAUGUAACGAGUGUGUAAUCUUGAAAGAGACCAUCAGCGAAAAACUGACAAAGAUUGAUUUGGGGUGUUGAAGGACAAGAGAAGAUCUAGAGCACAUAUGCUUCUUCAAUAUCUCUGCAGAGAAAAAUAUUUUAAACACAUCAAGAAAUCCAAAGAACAUCCAAGCAUGUAUACAUCUGUUAUCAGUGACAAUAUGGAUCAGUCCAAAACAAAUCUGCCAAGAUUUACGUUACAUUUUAAGAAUGAAACACUUGAAAAAAUGCACCACCAUGUCACAGGUGUUUUAUGUCACGGAUUAAAUAAGGCAUACACAUUUACAUGGACAGAUCAGUUUUCCUCUGAUUGUAAUAUCACCUUGAAUUGUUUGAUGUCUGUGUUAGGCGAUGUAAAGUUCACAUGCAGGAGAAAAACACAUUUUUAUUAACUUUACAAUUUAUGUAUCUACAAGAAAGUCAAAGUGUAUGGAAGCCACUUUUAGUCCAUUAAUUUUAAACAUCAAAGAACCAUCUACAAUAUAAAAAUUAAGAGAUGUGGUAUGAUUGCCAAUGAGACAACUAUCCAAAGAGUUCACAUGAUAAAGUCAUGAAAAAUAACAGAUGAGUCCAAUCUAGCAUAUCAUAUUAAAUUGGAAAUAAUAAUUUGACAAGGUUGCUUUAAAACCCUUAAAGUUGGAUACAUCGAUAUCACUAACAGUUAUAAACUUAUAUGAACUUUUCAUUAUUGGACUGUGUGGUGCCAAGUUUGCAACAAGUAUGGAAAUCAGUAUGAAAUUUUGGUGGCUUCAUUUUCAUGACUAUGAUAAACAUCAUAAGAGGAUAGGCCUAUAAUUGCUUUUCUUUUAUGAAUACAAUUAUAGUAUUGUUCUUAACCCUGCUUUGUAGGCUUUUCUCAAAAUCAAUACUUAAAAGUCAUUGACAGAUGUGGUGGGUGUAAUGUUGCUAUAUAUUUCAUAUAAAAAUAAGGAUAGGUAUGAUUGCCAAUGAAACAAUUAUGCAUAAAGACUAACGGACAAUGAUGUUGACUAUUGCAGGUCAAAGUAUGGCCUUCUGCAGUGAGCAAAACCCAUACCCUAUACUUAGCUAAAAUGCCAUGUGAUGACAAAAUGGAAAACAAAUUCAAAAAAGAAAACCAACAGCAUACUUGUGUCAAUCUCUUGCUGACCCUGAUAGUUUUAAAAAACAAUUCUGAAAGUCUAUUUUGUUUACUUUUGCACUUGAACACUAUGUAAAUCUCAUUUGAUGGAGGAUUAUUUUCACAUUCACAUUUCUGAAUUAUAUAUAUAUCUAAAUGCAUGAACAUCUAUAUGCAUGAACAUUAUUAAUAAUAUAGUCUAUAAAUUUCAAUUGCAUUUUUAUUUUCU